CGCAUCUUCUCCCGAUAUUGCACGCUCCUUUUUGGUCCCUGCAGCCAAGACUCCACCUUCACCAGUCCUUGUACAAUUUCGGAGCAUCAUUGGGAGUAGAAUGACCUCCAAAUAUCCACACAUUGCCCACAACAAACCACACUGCAAAGAAGCAAUCCAAGGCCAUCUUGAAAUGGUUCAUUAAUCCAUUGAGCCGUGCACCUAAUUGUCUAGCAGCUUGACCAUUAAUUGUGGUUGAUUCAGUAGAAGAAAG
rnacentral:misc_RNA from 1 species